UAAUGAAAUAAAAUAAAUUUAUUUGUGAUUAUUUUUUAGCUGAUGUACCGUUAAACUGAAGGUGGUAAUAAAGUUUACAAAAUUUGCUCUGGCUGAAUUUUUCAUUGAAAAAACAAUAUGUGUGCCAUGAAUGUAAUCUGUUUUUCAUGGCGGAUCAAUGAAAGUUUGGUGUAUUGGCCAAAUCACUUGCAAGCAUCUUGCCUUUAGGCUUCCAUUCGUAAUGUCACGCUUAAAAGUAACUGAAAGCAGCUAAAAAUAAGAAUUUUUUGUUAUGAGACUGCUUUAGAACGGAAUUAUCUGUGCCUCCAGCUUAAAAGGAUGCAGGUUACAAAAAAGUGACACUGAUGAGAUUGUCUUACAUUUUAUCAAAGAUUGAAGAAAUCUUAAGUGUUUUAGGGUUAAGUGGUUCUAUCAGAGCUUUGUUUGACAAUCUCUUUCGAUUUAUUGAAUUUAUUUGCCGUUUAUAGAAAAAAAAAGAUCUUCUUAACCUCGAAGAAAAAUUAUGGAACAAAGACACCUUAUGAAUCAAUAGUAUAUAUCAGUGACUUGAUAUUAGUUAAUAGUUUUUGGAAACAGUACCAUGUACUUUUAAAGUUUCUAAUUUUUAAAAUAUGUGAUACAUUUAUAUGAAACAUUAUACAAACAAAUGAUACAAAAUGAUACGUGAUUGACUAUAAUUAUGUUGUAUAUCAGAAUGUUUUAUAUAAAUGUUUAUUAAAUUUUAUUGUGAUUUUUAUCUUUUAUGCCCAGUUAGCAAUGUAUUUUGUGUAGCAAUGACUACUAAUCUCAGAUAUCUAUGACAUCUGUAGGGUGUAUUCACCGCUACAGAUGUCAUAAUCUAUUUAUAACCAAUUGCUUUUACUCUUCCAUAAUGUCAUAUUUU